GGGGAAUAUUGCACAAUGGAGGAAACUCUGAUGCAGCGACGCCGCGUGAGUGAAGAAGGUCUUCGGAUCGUAAAACUCUGUCCUUGGUGACGAAAAAAAUGACGGUAGCCAAGGAGGAAGCCCCGGCUAACUACGUGCCAGCAGCCGCGGUAAUACGUAGGGGGCGAGCGUUGUCCGGAUUUACUGGGCGUAAAGGGUGAGUAGGCGGUAAUAUGUGUCAGAUGUAAAAGGCUAUGGCUUAACCAUAGUUGGCAUUUGAAACUGUAUUACUUGAGUGCAGGAGAGGUAAGUGGAAUUCCUAGUGUAGCGGUGAAAUGCGUAGAUAUUAGGAGGAACACCAGUGGCGAAGGCGACUUACUGGACUGUAACUGACGCUGAGUCACGAAAGCGUGGGUAGCAAACA
rnacentral:rRNA from 2 species